GACGAACGCUGGCGGCGUGCUUAACACAUGCAAGUCGAACGGAAAGGCCCUGCUUUUGUGGGGUGCUCGAGUGGCGAACGGGUGAGUAACACGUGAGUAACCUGCCCUUGACUUUGGGAUAACUUCAGGAAACUGGGGCUAAUACCGGAUAGGAGCUCCUGCUGCAUGGUGGGGGUUGGAAAGUUUCGGCGGUUGGGGCUGGACUCGCGGCUUAUCAGCUUGUUGGUGGGGUAGUGGCUUACCAAGGCUUUGACGGGUAGCCGGCCUGUGAGGGUGACCGGCCACAUUGGGACUGAGAUACGGCCCAGACUCCUACGGGAGGCAGCAGUGGGGAAUAUUGCACAAUGGGCGGAAGCCUUAUGCAGCAACGCCGCGUGCGGGAUGACGGCCUUCGGGUUGUAAACCGCUUUCGCCUGUGACGAAGCGUGAGUGACGGUAAUGGGUAAAGAAGCACAGGCUAACUACGUG
rnacentral:rRNA from 1 species